rnacentral:lncRNA from 1 species
GACGGACGCUCCUGAUGGGAAGUUUCUUAAGCAAAACUUUUGUGUUUUGGUUUUAGAACACAACUUAAACUGCAAUUAAAACGUCGACGCUGAUGUUGCCAUGUCGACCAGAAGCGUGCGUGCACGCGAGGUGCUGCUAGUAUGGCCGGAGGGUCGAAUGACGCAGGGCGUACUCUACACUACGAACGGGAACUAACAAAGCAACUGAUCGAGUUGCAAACCACUGGGCAGCUGACGGCUGAAGCAUGGGUUCGGAG